rnacentral:ncRNA from 16 species
UCUGCCGGCACGCGUGUCGGCAUCGAGCAAGACAGGUCAUUGGUGUCUUGCGAGAGGGAACUCCGGUGAGAAUCCGGGACUGUCCCGCAGCGGUAUGCAGGAACGACCGCCGUCAUCAGCACUGGUCCAAGCACGAACCGGGACUGGGAAGCGACGGCCAGUAGGAGCACCACCGCGGUGCGCGCCUGCGAGUCCGAAGACCUGCCGGCUGGGCCGGACGCGCC